rnacentral:ncRNA from 1 species
GGUGCUUGGGAAAGCUAGUAAAUAUAUAUAAAUUAUUAAGAAGUUGAGAUAAUUUUUUUUAAGGAACUCGGCAAAUUUAUCUCGUAACUUAGGGAGAAGAGAUACUUAUUUAGUUGAAAACAAAAAAUUUAAGCGACUGUUUAACAAAAACACAAAUCUUUGCUAAAUCGAAAGAUGAUGUAUAAAGAUUGACAUCUGCCCAGUGCUAUUAUGUAAAAAUAAUAUUUAUAAUUUAAAAUUAUAAAAUAUAUAUAAGCUAUAGUAAACGGCGGCUGUAUCUAUAACGGUCCAAAGGUAGCGAAAUUCCUUGUCGGGUAAGUUCCGACCUGCAUGAAAGAUGUAACGACUUAAAUGCUGUCUUAAAAAAAAUCUUAAUGAAAUAAAAUUAUCUGUGAAGAUGCAGAUUUCUUAUAUUAGGACAGAAAGACCCUAUGAAGCUUUACUAUUAAUAGAUAUUGAAAAUAUAUAUGUAUAACAUAGAAUAAAUGGGAAGUAGAGAUAUUAUUUUUUUGGAAAUAAUGUAAUUAUCAAUGAAAUACCAUUUUAUAUAUAUAUAAAUUCUUAUAAAAUUUUUAUAACAAAAUUUUUAACAAUAUUUAUAAGAUAGUUUGACUGGGGCGGUCUCCUCCUAUAUAGAAACGGAGGUGUACAAUGUUAUAUUUAUUAUAUAAAGAUAAAUAUAUAAUUAACUGUAAAAUUUACAAAUUAAACAGAGAUUAACGUCGGUCUUAAUGAUCCGAUWAUUAUUUAAUAAUAAAAUUAUCGCUUAACGGAUAAAAGUUACUCUAGGGAUAACAGGCUAAUCUUUUCCGAGAGUCCAUAUUGACGAAAAGGUUUGGCACCUCGAUGUCGGCUUAUCGCAUCCUAAGGCAGUAGUAUGUUUUAAGGGUAAGUCUGUUCGCCUAUUAAAGCGAUACGUGAGCUGGGUUCAGAACGUCGUGAGACAGUUCGGUCCAUAUYUAAUAUAAGUGUUAGAAUAUUGAAAUUAUUUUUUCUAGUACGAGAGGAUCGAAAAAAUUAUACCAAUGAUAUAUCAAUUAUUAUAUAUUGUAAUGUUGAGUAGUUAAGUAUAAAAUUUUAAUUGUUGAAGUAAUAUAAAUAAGAAAAUUUAAUUAAAAAUAAUAUUCUAAUCAUAUAAAUGAAUAAAMCAAUAAUUAGAAAAAUUAUUUUAUAGAAUUAAUAUGUAUUUAUAGUAAUAUAUUUAGUAUAUAAUUCCUAAUAAGUUGAAUAUUUAAUUAU